rnacentral:ncRNA from 1 species
UAUCUGGUCUUCCUGCCAGUAGUCAUAUGCUUGUCUCAAAGAUUAAGCCAUGCAUGUCUAAGUAUAAGCACUCGUACUGGAAACUGCGAAUGC